AAUACAUUUGAAUGCUUAGAAUGCUCAGAGAUUAAUUUCUGGUCUGAUCUUACAUUUUUUUUUUUUUUAACUAAAAUUAACACUAAUAAAUUAGUAAAAUAGCUUUAUCACAACAUCUGGAUCCUUGUUAUUGGAGAGUAACCCCAAAGGAAAAUCUUCAAGACCCUGCAGUGUAUUUGUUUUGAAUAAAUACUUUUGAUAAAUGAGAUGACAUAUUACAAAGCAGAGAUGAAAAAUUACUUUUUUUCCAUUAAGGUCUUCCAGAAGAAAAACGUUUCUAAGGGCAAAUGAACACAUAUAGCAAUAGCAUUGAUGAGCUUUGUCAAACUGCAGAUGAUUUUCCAGGCAUGGAAGCCAAAAUUCCCAUGACAACCCUCACAAACUUCACAUACACAUUCAGUGUAGAUAGCAACCCAUAUAAUGUAGGAACAUUUCAAGUUAAGUGUUAAAAACUAAGCUAAAUAUAAUUUAAACCAUGAAAGCAAAUAUCCUUCUAAUUGUAUCCAAGGUGUUUUUUCCCUUCCAUCCCAUUUUCUGAUUUUCUAUAUUCUGAAAUCUGUGUCUAAAUUUCAAUCCAAGUGACAGAUGCCAAUUACCUUUGUACCACUCCCAGAAUCUGAAGAAGAGACAAAGGGCAGUUCCUCCCUUUGUUCCUCGGUAUCUCCUGGCAGUGGGGUGGCCAUGAGAAAGGGAUUGUGCUUGCCCAGUGUGUGCCUGGCUGCCAGCCCUGCACGCCCUGCCCUGUGCCACCUCCUCACUCCAGGCACUGUGCGCUCUGUCCUAGCGCGGCUGUGAAAGGCUUUGUUAAACCCGGUCCAGGUGCUCAGUGUGUGAGCAGGAACCGGGGCUGAAGGGGCUUUGCAGCCCUUAUGGGAAGGGGAAGAAAAGGGGAUGUCUUCCUUUGGUGUCUCCGUGUUUUAACCAGAUAGGUUUUUUCAGUUUGGUUAUAAGGACCUGGCUGGGACUUGCCAGGUUGACCCAGUGCUGCCAUUCUGUAUUGCAUAUUCUGGAUAGGCAUGAUGAUCAUCUGUACUGAGAGUCUCUCUGCUUCAGCAGAAAGUCACACAUGAAGAAAUGGCUAAUAGAAAUAAAAGGUUCUAGGUUCAGCCUGUAGCAGAACUGUAUUUUUCAUUUGCUGUAACCGUAUGUGAUAAAAUGAUAACUGCAUUUGUAUAAUAUUUUUAAAUUCUUUUAACACUUGUGUGUCACAGUGCACAAUCACCAUCAUAGAUUAGAAAUGAAUUGAUUUUUCUGCUUUAGUGCCUCCCCUUUUAUACUUCUCCAUUAAUUUUCUUUCCUACAACAAGAUGGUAACAAAACAGGUGCAAUCAUAGGAAUAAAUGAACAUCUGCAAUGCACCACUAAAUACUAAACAACUUACUUUACACUGUUAAGCUGUCACAAUUAAUUCAUUUAUAAAAUUUGUCCUGUCAGUGAAUGAACAUUUAGAAUCUUAGAACCUAUUCUUAAUUAGGUAUUUUCUCUCAAACGAAAUUACAGAUCUUUUCUAACCUUGCUUUAGAUUUACUUUUAUAUCAGCUGAGUAUCUGCCAGGUUGUUUUGUUUAUUGCAAAAGGUAUUACUGGUGGACAAAAGCAGGAGAGAAUGUACUGAAUUCUUGUAAUAAUUUUUAUCUUAGUAAUAUAAUUACUGUCAAUUUCUUCUUUAUUUCAUAGACUCAUAUAGUAUUUUCUAUGUUCAAAAGGACUCUCAUAAAUUUCCCUCUUUAACCUUUUAUUAGAAACUUUAGAUUGUUGUGCUGUGUUAUUGAAGAAUCAAGCAGUGAAAAGAGAUGAAAAAGUAGUGAUUCUGAAACUUCAGUGAGCUGCUGCUCCUUUCCAGACCCUGCCAGCCUUAAGGCUCAGUACCAGCUUUGUGGGGCCCAAGCAAUUCUUAUGGGCUCGUGGGCAGGAGCUCCUGAUGUUCACAGCAGCUCUGGCUUUGUCUUGUAACCUGACAGAUAAUGCAGUGCCUGAGUGAAAAAACAUUUCUCCGUUUAGAAGUGAGGAGCUUUCUGACAGUUGUACAUAUACAGAGCACCUUGCUCAGCUCUCAUUUUACAUACUAUUUCUUUACCUAUCGGUGAAAGCUUUAUUUAUUAUUUAAAUGAACAAACUCCGGGGUACAAAUAAAAAAAAUAAACAUCUUAUUUGUUUUAAUUUGCAAAAAGAGCCUGGUGAGCUGCUUCACUCUUGCAAAAAAAAAAAAAAAAAAAAAGAAAAAAAAUCAUAUUGUAACAUUGCAGCUACCUAUUUUCUGAUUAAAGACGUUAAUUCAAAAAAGCAGUUCAGUUGCUCUUUAAGCUGCCAUGGUGUUAAAACAAUUAUUUAAAGAACAGUCAAUCUUCUCCAUAUCACAUAUUCACCGUUGCUUUGAUUCCAAGAAAAUUUCUUGUUUGGUUUUAAGAGUUAAUGGUUUUCUGGUAACUCUUGGUUAAAUAUGAAUGCAGACAUAGUAAUGCUUAUUCCUUAACAUCUAAGCAAUACAAAUAUCAAAUGCAUUAUUCCUGCUGAAAACUCACUGUCAUGUCACAAUCUAGGUAAAAAAUUUUAAACCUCAAAUACGACUUUCUGCCUGUAGGAUAAUGAAUAUAAUGUUUUUUGAUAUAUUUUUCCAAUUAUGUUGUAGACAAGAACAUCCUCUUACUGUUCUUCAUUUCUUCAGUUGUGUAUCUUACCUAACCAGGAUGGACCCUCAUUUUUCAGGUCUCCAGAACCUCCCAAAUCUGCCAAAAGUUUGUGUCUGCCCCUUUCAGGUUCAGAUGAGUUGUUGCCUCUCCGUUCCUCCCUGUGAGGCAGUGGCACCAACACUGGGGACCACAUCCAAACAUUGGUGCAGCUUGAAAAUGCAGCACAGUGGCAUUUAUGAAGGUUCAUCCUGCUGGCCAGCACUUCUUUCAGUCACUCUGUAUUCAAUAAGGAGCCUCUGUGGGAUUGCAUAGAUAAGGCUUCCCUCUCUUGGGGAUGAUGGCAGGACCAGAGCAGAGAUGAUGCCUGUGUGGCAUACAGCAGUUAACAGCAGGCCCACACAGUAAAAGCUGCAGCUAUCAAGUGCUUUAUGAAUGCUUUGUCCAGGUGCUUUCUGCAAAGGUUUCACAAUCUCAUCCUCUACUCACUCAAGUCAGUUGCACCAGCUGGCAAGUAGGAGUUCCUCCACUUGUCAGAAAAGGGGUUAUUUAGCCAUUUUCUCUGAGUAAAUAUAAAACAUAUCAGACUAGCUGAAUACACACACCUCUGCCCUCAUCCAUUCUUCAUGAAGUUGUAAGGGACUGUUUGUCUAAAAUAGUGCUGAUGUGUGAUAUUAAAAAAUGAUUUAGACAUAUGAAAGAAAACCACUUGAUACUCCUCAUGGCCUGCAAAGCUCCUGCUCAAAGGUUGAUUUCAUGAUUAAUUUAUGCCAGCAUUAUCCUUAUUUUAGUGAUACUAGAAGUGAAAUCCUGGCCACAGCCAUCAGGUAAAUGAAUUCAAUACAUAGUGCACAAAUCUUUUUGAAUGGUCGCUAUUUUAGGCAUAGGCUGACAGCAGCAGGGAACAGAAGAACCUGUAUUUAUUUCUUUUUUCUCCAAACAUGUAUGUUGCCAUAGGUCAGUUGUGAAGUGAUAGAGUCUGUAUCGGGCAACCCUUUAAAAUCAUUCAGUUCUUAGGGCCACUGACUUCUUACACACACCCCUGUUUCACCUUUACUGCCAGCAAUUUGCUCUGGUAUAGCUCCCCUGUUAGGUACCAGAGAAGGCUUUUGUUCUUCUCUUUGUAUGUGUUUUUAGUCUAAUGAGAGAGAGAUGCAUUGUUUACAGGCCCUAGAUAUGAACCACUGACAUACACAAAGGCAGCAUGAAAAUCCAGUAAGAGGCAGACUGAUUUUCAGUAAUCAAAUAGUUUAAGCACUUUCCAAUCAUAAGCCUAAGGAAGGCAAGACUCUACAAAAGAAAAGUCUUUGGAAAUAAGUCUAAAUAGGCAAUAGAAUUUCUAAAAUUCUGAGUUUCAGAAGUAUUUGCAUGACACAAAAAGGACAAUGUUUGAUCUUAACAAUAGACCUUGUUUUUACAUUAUGAUAGAGCUACUAAAAAAUUAGGAAUACAUGGUUACAAAAGGCCUCUAUAAAACUGACUGCUCAAGUCUUUCCCACAUAAGUUAUGGCCUAGCUAAGAGAAAAAUAAAUGAAAAAUAAAUCAUGAACAUAAUGCACAUUUUUACCCAGAGUGCAAAAUGUACAUUAGUGCAUCUGAUUUCCAAAUGUCUCAGGUAACAAUGUUCUAGUGCAGCAGAAUAUACAGGUAAAAUCAAUGUGACACACAUUGGCACUCCCCAUCUCAGCCAAACAGACAUUAUAUGUCCUUAGAGGUGUCUAAAUUAGCAGCAUGGUAGUAAUUUUUGGUUACAUUUAAGUAUUUCUAGCCUUUCAGUAAGCCUGUUCAAGCUCAAUUCCUUGAACUUCUGCUUAUAUCUGAUAUUCAGAGUGUUCCUGCUGUCUGUCUUGUUGCAAUCCUGUUUAUAGAACUGUACAUUACAGAGAGAUUAGGAACUAAAAACAGCAGGCCAAAUUGAGUAUUAAUAAAUGCAAAUAAAUGCUCACUGGGGAAAAGCCAAUUCUCCUAUAUAUACACACUGAUAGAUAUUAAAUUAUUCAGUAACCUUCAGAAUAGCUCUGUGGACAGUUCUGUGGAAUGUCAGCUCAGCAUUCAGUGGUACUUCAAAAAACAAAUUAGGAAUAUGAUGACAAAAAUCAAAGCAUAAUUAUGACAACAUGUACAUUUCUGGUGUGUCUGCACUUUGACCACUGCUUGCAGCGGAACUAGAAAAUACAGAGAAAAGCAGUAACAAUGAGCACAGAUGAGAAGUGCCUUUUGUACAAUAUGGUAUUAGGCUAUGGCUUUUCCUCUGGGAAAACAGGCAGUACUUGGAAAACGUGCUAGAGGUCUGUAAAUUCUUGAGUGCUACAGGGAAGACAAAUAGGAAAGAGUUGUUCAUCUCUUCUCACAAUUAAACAGGCAGAAGGUGUUAACUGAAGUUGUUGGGCAGCUGGUUUAGGAGAUCACAAAAUUAAUUGAUUUUUCCUACAUAUUAAGUUGUGGAAUUCAUUGAUAUUCAGCAUGGUAAAUCCUAAGAGUUUAGAUGAAAAAAAAAAAAAAAAAAAAA
ensembl:lncRNA